GAACGCUGGCGGCAUGCCUAAGACAUGCAAGUCGAACGAGGUGGCCCAAUGAAGAUGGAGUGCUUGCACAAGUUGGAUUUGGUUACCACCUAGUGGCAGACGGGUGAGUAACACGUGGGUGACCUACCUUUUAGUUGGGGAUAACAGUUGGAAACGAUUGCUAAUACCGAAUAAGAUAUAACCGUCGAGGUUAUAUUGAAAAGGAGCCUUUAAAGCUUCACUUAAAGAUGGGCCUGCGGCGUAUUAACUAGUUGGUGAGGUAAUGGCUCACCAAGGUGACGAUGCGUAGCCGGACUGAGAGGUUGAACGGCCACACUGGAACUGAGAUACGGUCCAGACUCCUACGGGAGACAGCAGUUAGGAAUAUUCGUCAAUGGGGGAAACCCUGAACGAGCAAUGCCGCGUGAGUGAUGACGGUCCUUUGGAUUGUAAAACUCUGUUGUAUGGGAAGAAUGACCAAACUAGGAAAUGAGUUUGGAGUGACGGUACCAUGCCAGAAAGCCCCGGCUAACUACGUG
rnacentral:rRNA from 1 species